GAGUUUGAUCCUGGCUCAGGAUAAACGCUGGCGGCGCACAUAAGACAUGCAAGUCGAACGGACUUAGGCUCAUUCUUUACGAUUGAGUACGGUUAGUGGCGGACUGGUGAGUAACGCGUGAGCAACCUGCCUAUAAGAGGGGAACAACAGUUAGAAAUGACUGCUAAUACCGCAUAAGCUGAUAGGUCCACAUGGACUAGUCAGAAAAGGAGCAAUCCGCUUAUAGAUGGGCUCGCGUCCGAUUAGCUAGUUGGUGGGGUAAAGGCCUACCAAGGCGACGAUCGGUAGCCGGACUGAGAGGUUGAACGGCCACAUUGGGACUGAGAUACGGCCCAGACUCCUACGGGAGGCAGCAGUCGGGAAUAUUGCGCAAUGGAGGAAACUCUGACGCUGUGACGCCGCGUAUAGGAAGAAGUUUUUCGGAAUGUAAACUAUUGUCGUUAGGGAAGAGAAAGGACGGUACCUAAGGAGGAAGCCCCGGCUAACUAUGUGCCAGCAGCCGCGGUAAUACAUAGGGGGCGAGCGUUAUCCGGAAUUAUUGGGUGUAAAGGGUGCGUAGACGGGAUUUUAAGUUAGUUGUGAAAGCCCCAGGCUUAACUUGGGAACUGCAACUAAAACUGAAAUUCUUGAGUACUGGAGAGGAAAGUGGAAUUCCUAGUGUAGCGGUGAAAUGCGU
rnacentral:rRNA from 1 species